UGCUGCUUACAAUUAUCUCUAUCUAUAAUGAACUUAGCCCAGUAGUUUCAGUGGAAAAUGUUGGUAAAAAUUUACAAAUUAUAUGAAAAUUGGUAAAAAUUUACUAUAAAGGACAAUAACUCCUUAGGGGUCAAUUAACCAUUUUGGUCAUGUUGACUUAAUUUUAGGUCUUACUUUGCUGUACAUUAUUGCUGUUAAGUUUAUCUCUAUCUAUAAAAAUAUUCAAGAUAAUAACAAACUAGAGGCCCUCAAGAGCCUGUGUCCCUCACCUUGGUCUAUGUGCAUAUUAAACAAUGGACACAGAUAAAUUCAUGACAAAUUGUGUUUUGGUGAUGGUGAUGUGUUUGUAGAUCUUACUUUACUGAACAUUAUUGUUGCUACAAUUAUCUAUAUCUAUAAUGAACUUUGCCCAGU
rnacentral:lncRNA from 1 species